rnacentral:rRNA from 1 species
UACGGAGGAGGCAAGCGUUAUCCGGAAUUAUUGGGCGUAAAGCGUCCGUAGGUGGUUUGUCAAGUCUUCUGUCAAAGCGCGGAGCUUAACUCCGUAAAGGCAGAGGAAACUGAUAGGCUAGAGUGCGAUAGGGGCAAGGGGAAUUCCCAGUGUAGCGGUGAAAUGCGUAGAUAUUGGGAAGAACACCGGUGGCGAAAGCGCCUUGCUGGGUCUGCACUGACACUGAGGGACGAAAGCUAGGGGAGCGAAA